UACGUAGGGUGCGAGCGUUGUCCGGAAUUACUGGGCGUAAAGAGCUCGUAGGUGGUUUGUCGCGUUGUCCGUGAAAUUCCCUGGCUUAACUGGGGGCGUGCGGGCGAUACGGGCAGACUGGAGUACUGCAGGGGAGACUGGAAUUCCUGGUGUAGCGGUGGAAUGCGCAGAUAUCAGGAGGAACACCGGUGGCGAAGGCGGGCUC
rnacentral:rRNA from 1 species